GACGAACCGUGCGAACGUUAUUCGGAAUCACUGGGCUUAAAGGGCGCGUAGGCGGGUUGCCAAGUCUGUGGUGAAAUCCUCCGGCUUAACCGGAGAACUGCCGUGGAUACUGGCGACCUCGAGGGGGGUAGGGGCUUGCGGAACUGUGCGUGGAGCGGUGAAAUGCGUUGAUAUGCACAGGAACUCCGGUGGCGAAGGCGGCGAGCUGGACCCUUUCUGACGCUGAGGCGCGAAAGCCAGGGGAGCGAACGGG
rnacentral:rRNA from 1 species